rnacentral:rRNA from 1 species
GACGAACGCUGGCUGCGUGCUUAACACAUGCAAGUCGAACGCUGAAGCCCCAGCUUGCUGGGGUGGAUGAGUGGCGAACGGGUGAGUAACACGUGAGUAACCUGCCCCUGACUUCGGGAUAAGCCCGGGAAACUGGGUCUAAUACCGGAUACGACUAUCGGACGCAUGUCUGGUGGUGGAAAGUUUUUUCGGUUGGGGAUGGGCUCGCGGCCUAUCAGUUUGUUGGUGAGGUAAUGGCUCACCAAGACGACGACGGGUAGCCGGCCUGAGAGGGCGACCGGCCACACUGGGACUGAGACACGGCCCAGACUCCUACGGGAGGCAGCAGUGGGGAAUAUUGCACAAUGGGGGAAACCCUGAUGCAGCGACGCAGCGUGCGGGAUGACGGCCUUCGGGUUGUAAACCGCUUUCAGCAGGGAAGAAGCCUUCGGGUGACGGUACCUGCAGAAGAAGUACCGGCUAACUACGU